GACGAACGCUGGCGGCGUGCCUAAUACAUGCAAGUUGAGCGCUGAAGGUUGGUACUUGUACCGACUGGAUGAGCAGCGAACGGGUGAGUAACGCGUGGGGAAUCUGCCUUUGAGCGGGGGACAACAUUUGGAAACGAAUGCUAAUACCGCAUAAAAACUUUAAACACAAGUUUUAAGUUUGAAAGAUGCAAUUGCAUCACUCAAAGAUGAUCCCGCGUUGUAUUAGCUAGUUGGUGAGGUAAAGGCUCACCAAGGCGAUGAUACAUAGCCGACCUGAGAGGGUGAUCGGCCACAUUGGGACUGAGACACGGCCCAAACGCCUACGGGAGGCAGCAGUAGGGAAUCUUCGGCAAUGGACGAAAGUCUGACCGAGCAACGCCGCGGGAGUGAAGAAGGUUGUCGGAUCGUAAAACUCUGUUGGUAGAGAAGAACGUUGGUGAGAGUGGAAAGCUCAUCAAGUGACGGUAACUACCCAGAAAGGGACGGCUAACUACGUG
rnacentral:rRNA from 1 species